UACGUAGGGCGCAAGCGUUGUCCGGAAUUAUUGGGCGUAAAGAGCUUGCUGUGAGCGGUUUGUCGCGUCUGCUGUGAAAUUUCGGGGCUCAACCCCGAACUUGCAGUGGGUACGGGCAGACUAGAGUGUGGUAGGGGAGACUGGAAUUCCUGGUGUAGCGGUGGAAUGCGUAGAGAUCCGGAAGAACACCGGUGGCGAAGGCGCCACUCUGGGCCGAAACUGACGCUGAGGAGCGAAAGCGUGGGUAGCAAACAGG
rnacentral:rRNA from 1 species